rnacentral:rRNA from 1 species
CCUACGGGAGGCAGCAGUAGGGAAUCUUCCACAAUGGGCGAAAGCCUGAUGGAGCAACGCCGCGUGGGUGAAGAAGGUCUUCGGAUCGUAAAACCCUGUUGUUAGAGAAGAAAGUGCGUGAGAGUAACUGUUCACGUGUCGACGGUAUCUAACCAGAAAGCCACGGCCAACUACGUGCCAGCAGCCGCGGUAAUACGUAGGUGGCAAGCGUUAUCCGGAUUUAUUGGGCGUAAAGGGAACGCAGGCGGUCUUUUAAGUCUGAUGUGAAAGCUUUCGGCUUAACCGGAGUAGUGCAUUGGAAACUGGGAGACUUGAGUGCAGAAGAGGAGAGUGGAACUCCAUGUGUAGCGGUGAAAUGCGUAGAUAUAUGGAAGAACACCAGUGGCGAACGCGGCUCUCUGGUCUGUAACUGACGCUGAGGUUCGAAAGCGUGGGUAGCAAACAGGAUUAGAUACCCGUGUAGUC